UGUCUCAAAGAUUAAGCCAUGCAUGUCUCAGUACAAGCCAAAUUAAGGUGAAACCGCGAAAGGCUCAUUAAAUCAGUUAUGGUUCCUUAGAUCGUACCCACAUUUACUUGGAUAACUGUGGUAAUUCUAGAGCUAAUACAUGCAAAUAGAGCUCCGACCGGAGACGGAAGGAGUGCUUUUAUUAGAUCAAAACCAAUCGGCGGUGGUGAAUCUGAAUAACUUUUGCUGAUCGCACGGUCUCGUACCGGCGACGCAUCUUUCAAAUGUCUGCCUUAUCAACUGUCGAUGGUAGGUUCUGCGCCUACCAUGGUUGUAACGGGUAACGGGGAAUCAGGGUUCGAUUCCGGAGAGGGAGCCUGAGAAACGGCUACCACAUCCAAGGAAGGCAGCAGGCGCGCAAAUUACCCACUCCCGGCACGGGGAGGUAGUGACGAAAAAUAACGGUACAGGACUCAUCCGAGGCCCUGUAAUCGGAAUGAGUACACUUUAAAUCCUUUAACGAGUAUCAAUUGGAGGGCCAGUCUGGUGCCAGCAGCCGCGGUAACUCCAGCUCCAAUAGCGUA
rnacentral:rRNA from 1 species